rnacentral:rRNA from 1 species
GGCCUAACACAUGCAAGUCGAACGGCAGCGCGGGGCAACCUGGCGGCGAGUGGCGAACGGGUGAGUAAUAUAUCGGAACGUACCCUGGAGUGGGGGAUAACGUAGCGAAAGUUACGCUAAUACCGCAUACGAUCUAAGGAUGAAAGUGGGGGCUUCGCAAGAACCUCAUGCUCCUGGAGCGGCCGAUAUCUGAUUAGCUAGUUGGUAGGGUAAAAGCCUACCAAGGCUUCGAUCAGUAGCUGGUCUGAGAGGACGACCAGCCACACUGGAACUGAGACACGGUCCAGACUCCUACGGGAGGCAGCAGUGGGGAAUUUUGGACAAUGGGCGCAAGCCUGAUCCAGCAAUGCCGCGUGAGUGAAGAAGGCCUUCGGGUUGUAAAGCUCUUUUGUCAGGGAAGAAACGGUGAGGGCUAAUAUCCCUUGCUAAUGACGGUACCUGAAGAAUAAGCACCGGCUAACUACGUGCCAGCAGCCGCGGUAAUACGUAGGGUGCAAGCGUUAAUCGGAAUUACUGGGCGUAAAGCGUGCGCAGGCGGUUUUGUAAGUUUGUCGUGAAAGCCCCGGGCUCAACCUGGGAAUUGCGAUGAAGACUGCAAGGCUUGAAUCUGGCAGAGGGGGGUAGAAUUCCACGUGUAGCAGUGAAAUGCGUAGAGAUGUGGAGGAACACCGAUGGCGAAGGCAGCCCCCUGGGUCAAGAUUGACGCUCAUGCACGAAAGCGUGGGGAGCAAACAGGAUUAGAUACCCUGGUAGUCCACGCCCUAAACGAUGUCUACUAGUUGUCGGGUUUUAAUUAACUUGGUAACGCAGCUAACGCGUGAAGUAGACCGCCUGGGGAGUACGGUCGCAAGA